rnacentral:rRNA from 1 species
UUAAGAAACAAAGGGCGUACAGUGAAUGCCUUGGUACCAAGAGCCGAUGAAGGACGCAACUAACGGCGAUACGCCGCGGGAAGCUGUAAGUAAGCGACGAUCCGCGGAUUUCCGAAUGGGGAAACCCACUACAGUGAAGCUGUAGUAUCCUUUUAUAAGGAGGGGAACGCAGGGAACUGAAAUAUCUAAGUACCUGUAGGAAAAGAAAGUAAAAACGAUUUUGCUAGUAGCGACGAGCGAACGCGAAAAAGCCUAUCACCAUAAAGAGUUACAAAACUAUAUGUUAGAUAAAUGAUCUGGGAAGUUCAACCAUAGAAGGUGACAGUCCUGUAGUCGAAAACAUAUAGACUCGGUGUGAAAGUACGGCGGGACACGAGAAAUCUUGUCGGAAGAUGUGAGGACCAUCUCAUAAGGCUAAAUACUCCUUGGUAACCGAUAGUGAACCAGUACCGUGAGGGAAAGGUGAAAAGAACCCCGGGAGGGGAGUGAAAUAGAACCUGAAACUGUAUGCUUACAACUAGUCAGAGCCCGUUCAUGGGUGAUGGCGUGCCUUUUGUAGAAUGAACCGGCGAGUUAUGGUAUCUAGCAAGGUUAAGUCUUAAGGGACGGAGCCGAAGCGAAAGCGAGUCUUAAUAGGGCGUUGAGUUAGAUGCUGUAGACCCGAAACUGGGUGAGCUAGCCAUGGGCAGGUUGAAGUUAGGGUAAUACCUAAUGGAGGACCGAACCAGGACACGUUAAAAAGUGUUUGGAUGACCUGUGGCUAGGGGUGAAAUUCCAAUCGAACCCAGAAAUAGCUGGUUCUCUCCGAAAUAGCUUUAGGGCUAGCGUUCGUAUUAUUUUCAUGAAGGUAGAGCACUGAAUGUAUGAUGGCCUCACCUCGAGGUACUGAUUACAAUUAAACUCCGAAUGUCAUGAAAUUUGACGAGCAGUCAGACUGCGGGUGAUAAGGUUCGUAGUCGAAAGGGAAACAGCCCAGACCGCCGAUUAAGGUCCCCAAAUCAUUGCUAAGUGGUAAAGGAAGUGAAGAUGCUCAAACAGCUAGGAGGUUGGCUUAGAAGCAGCCAUCCUUUAAAGAGUGCGUAAUAGCUCACUAGUCGAGUGACUUCGCGCCGAAAAUGUAUCGGGGCUAAGCAAUGUACCGAAAUCGCGGACUCGUAAGAGUGGUAGGAGAGCGUUCUUAGGGCGAUGAAGCAUGAUCGUGAGGACAUGUGGAGCGCUAAGAAGUGAGAAUGCCGGUGUAAGUAACGAAAAGAUAGGUGAGAAUCCUAUCCGUCGAAAACCCAAGGUUUCCAGGGUAAAGGUCGUCUUCCCUGGGUUAGUCGGGUCCUAAGGUGAGGCUGAAAAGCGUAGCCGAUGGCCAGCAGGUUGAUAUUCCUGCACUAGUUAUAUGACUGAUGGAGCGACAGAGGAGGCUAACAUUCGCCCCUUAUUGGAUUGGGGACAAGGGAACAAGUUUUGUGUAUAGGCAAAUCCGUACACUUUAAGAACAAGUUCCGGUAGGUAAAGAAUGAUGAUGUCAUGCUCUCGAGAAAAACUUCUAGGGCUAAUCAUAUAACUACCCGUACCGUAAACCGACACAGGUGGGUGGGUAGAGAAUACUAAGACGCGCGAGAAAACUCUUGUUAAGGAACUCGGCAAAAUGACUCCGUAACUUCGGGAUAAGGAGGACUUUUAAUGAAAAAAAGAAGUCGCAGAGAAUAGGCCCAAGCGACUGUUUAUCAAAAACACAGGUCUCUGCAAAACCGUAAGGUGAAGUAUAGGGGCUGACGCCUGCCCGGUGCUGGAAGAUUAAGAGGAGAUGUUAGGUAACGAAGCAUUGAAUUUAAGUCCCAGUAAACGGCGGCCGUAACUAUAACGGUCCUAAGGUAGCGAAAUUCCUUGUCGGGUAAGUUCCGACCCGCACGAAAGGCGUAACGAUUUGGGCACUGUCUCAACAAGAGACUCGGUGAAAUCAAGCUGCCGGUGAAAACGCCGGCUACCCGCGACAGGACGAAAAGACCCCAUGGAGCUUUACUGCAAUUUGAUAUUGACUUUGGGUGUAGCAUGUACAGGAUAGGUGGGAGACUUUGAAACUAGAACGCUAGUUUUGGUGGAGUCAUCCUUUGGAUACCACCCUUGUUGCAUCUGAAUUCUAACCUACGUGAGUGUAUCACGGGGGACAGUGUCUGAUGGGCAGUUUGACUGGGGCGGUCGCCUCCCAAAGAGUAACGGAGGCGCUCAAAGGUUCUCUCAGAUUGGUUGGAAAUCAAUCGUAGAGCGUAAACGCAUAAGAGAGCUUGACUGCGAGUGCUACAACACGAGCAGGGACGAAAGUCGGAGUUAGUGAUCUUCCGGUUCCGCAUGGAAGGGCCGGGACUCAACGGAUAAAAGCUACCCUGGGGAUAACAGGCUAAUCGCUUCCAAGCGUCCAUAGCGACGAAGCGGUUUGGCACCUCGAUGUCGGCUCGUCGCAUCCUGGAGCUGGAGAAGGUUCCAAGGGUUGGGCUGUUCGCCCAUUAAAGCGGCACGCGAGCUGGGUUCAGAACGUCGUGAGACAGUUCGGUCUCUAUCCGUCGUGGGCGUUGGAAAUUUGAAGGGAGCUGCCCCUAGUAUGAGAAGACCGGGGUGGACAUACCUAUGGUGUACCAGUUGGUCUGCCAAGACCACAGCUGGGUAGCUAAGUAUGGAAUGGAUAAACGCUGAAAGCAUCUAAGCGUGAAGCCAACCUUAAGAUGAGAUUUCCCCAUUAGAUCCCUUAUAGACCAUGAGGUUGAUAGGCUGGAUGUGGAAGUGUGGUGACACAUUAAGCUGACCAGUACUAAUAGAUCAAUUGACUUAAUUUU